GAUGAACGCUGGCGGCGUGCUUAACACAUGCAAGUCGAACGGAAAGGCCCUGCUUUGGUGGGGUGCUUGAGUGGCGAACGGGUGAGUAACACGUAAGUAACCUGCCCUUGACUUUGGGAUAACUUCAGGAAACUAGGGCUAAUACCGGAUAGGAGCACCUGUUGCAUGGUGGGGGUUGGAAAGUUUCGGCGGCUGGGGUUGGACACGCGGCUUAUCAGCUUGUUGGUGGGGUAGAGGCAUACCCAGGCUUUGACGGGUAGCCGGCCUGAGAGGGUGACAGGCCACAGUGGGACUGAGGUACGGCCCAGACUCCUACGGGAGGCAGCAGUGGGAGAUAGUGCGCGAAGGGCGGAAGCCGGAUGCAGCAACUCCGCGUGCGGGAUGACGGCCUUCGGGUUGUAAACCGCUUUCGCCUGUGACGAAGCGUGAGUGACGGUAAUGGGUAAAGAAGCACCGGCUAACUACGUG
rnacentral:rRNA from 1 species